rnacentral:rRNA from 1 species
GAUGAACGCUGGCGGCGUGCUUAACACAUGCAAGUCGAACGAAGCACUUUAUUUGAUUUCCUUCGGGACUGAUUAUUUUGUGACUGAGUGGCGGACGGGUGAGUAACGCGUGGGUAACCUGCCUUGUACAGGGGGAUAACAGUUGGAAACGGCUGCUAAUACCGCAUAAGCGCACGGCAUCGCAUGAUGCAGUGUGAAAAACUCCGGUGGUAUAAGAUGGACCCGCGUUGGAUUAGCUAGUUGGUGAGGUAACGGCCCACCAAGGCGACGAUCCAUAGCCGACCUGAGAGGGUGCCCGGCCACAUUGGGACUGAGACACGGCCCAAACUCCUACGGGAGGCAGCAGUGGGGAAUAUUGCAAAAUGGGCGAAAGCCUGAUGCAGCGACGCCGCGUGAGCGAAGAAGUAUUUCGGUAUGUAAAGCUCUAUCAGCAGGGAAGAUAAUGACGGUACCUGAAUAAGAAGCACCGGCUAAAUACGUG